GGAGAGGUGUCCGAGUGGCUUAAGGAGCACGCCUGGAAAGUGUGUAUACGCUAAUACCGUAUCGAGGGUUCGAAUCCCUCCCUCUCCGCCA
rnacentral:tRNA from 18 species